AUCGAUGCCCCGGAGCUGAGACUGCGCGUCUUCACCCGUUCACGACAUUUCCUUCGAUAUCGAUAGGUGACAGUCACUAGGGGAUCCUUGGUCAGAAACAACGGUCCUAGGUCAUGAAAGAAACCGUACGAGGCAUUCGCCCAAGCCGUGACGUCGCCGUGCGAAAACCGUGGCGGAACCGGCGCAUUCCGCGUUACCGGAGGCGUCAGCACAAGACGCUGCACCCAGAACACCGAUCGCACCAGCCUGGUCUAUCUUUCUUUCCAGACUUGGAAACCACUCUGGGGUACGUAGAAUGCUGAUGGAUCCGGAGAGCUUAGCUCUUUUUUUCUUGCUUAACAGCUGAAAAUGCCUUCUCGGGGAAUCCUGGUCUGAUGCAUAAAUCCGACUCCAUGAAAGAAGCUUGCGGAUUAGGCGCCAAGCGCGUCCCAGGAUCGUAUGCUGGCACUCAGUGCGUACGCGAAUGCGAGAAUGCUCGGGGUCCAGCAGCGCCAUAACCGCCACCUGAGAACGUCUGACCGAAUGAGGACGCUUCGUCCGCAUCAUGAGAUAGUGAGACAUCGUGCGGAGACGUCUCCUGGAAUGGGCGUCGAGCAAGAGACGCUGUACGUGUCGCCACUGUUGCCGAGCGGUUGUUGUAUUGUAGGCUUCGGCGAUGUUUAAACAAGCGAUACAUUGCCGGUUUAGAAUCUAAGACAGCGACAGAGGCUCGAACUGGACGACACCGCGCAGCUGAGCCUGGAUUAUGCAACGGGAGCGUUCCAUGCUGCGUAGCGGAAACGCAGGCAAUUGCGGGGUAAAAGAAACUAUACUCAUGUCUGCGGUAGUUGCUGCAAAAGUAGCGACUCUCGCAACGAAAGUUUACCGGCGACAGAGCGCUCUGGUGACUGAUCAGAGCGUCUCAAAUUCGGCAUCUGUUUCGCCUGCGUGGAUAUGUGCAGACGCGCACUGGGCGCAAACCGCAUGUGUAGACGUGAUGACUCCGUACCGGCAACCGAGUGCUCUGUCUCUAGUCCGGGGCGUAGACGUGCGUUUGCGUGUGUGCAUGGGCGUGUUUGUGAGGGCGUCCAUGCCGGCUGAGUUGCCCUCGCUGCACGCAACACGAGUCAGAAGCUGCAAAGCUGUGGAUUUCCUGACCCGAACAGAAGGAUUCACGAACGCCCACCUGGAGGACGCCGCCACCACUUGGGCAACCGCUGCUUCAACUGCUGCUCAGCGUCGUUGCGAGCUCUAUCCGCCUUCGAGAAAGCAUCCGGCUCGCGAUCUCCGGUACCUGCAUCUUCCGAACGAAUCUGCUUGCCGGCGUUGGCUGCCGUGCCGUCUGCGGUCGCCGCGGCAGCCUCCGGUGGCGUGGUAUGUGGUGACGAAAUGACACCAGCAUACUCGCGACGCAGCGCCUCUGCCUGUGCAACCUCCUUCGCAAAUGCAGCCUCCAGCGGGGACUUCUCCAAGCGAGAACGAAAUUCUGGGCGCAAGCCCAGAGUAACAUACGUAUUCGAUGUUGACGGAACCAGGACUAGCACAGAAGCUGGGCAGAGUUGCACUUGGUGCAGCGUUGUUGGCCCGGCAUGCAGCACCCGUUUCGGUGGCGUUUGAUAGAGCUUGAAUGCGUCCAAGGCCCCGUUCGUGCUCGUUACAAAGCGCCGCACGAAAGCGUACAGGUCGUCUAGGCUUUCGUUGCACCAGAAACGACCCUCAAUGACCGUCUGAUCGGGAAGCCGGACACGUACCACACACUGCUCCGGCUGCGUUGCGCCUGCUCGUGAAGCAGUUGUAUGCCUGCGGGUUCGGAGAACGGUUGCUUCUUCCUGUUGUCGCUGCUGUGCAUGAAGGAUCCGUCGCAGUUCCCCCGGUGUUAGAUCGUAAAAAGUAUCGGGUAGGUCGAGGAGCUGCGCAUCAAAGCGGAUCGUCGUCGGCAGGUAGAAACGGACAUACCGCUCAGGCACCUGACCUGCAGGUGCUCCUGCAUUUCCGUUCGUCUCUAAAACAGGGGCGUCAGAUGCAGUGCGACCUGGAAUCAGCAGCUCCGAGGUUGACUCCGCUCCCUGUAUAGGUAUCUGGGUUGUACCUGAUUCCGUGUUCACCGACGAGGCCGAGUUUCGUGCAUCCGCUGGCUCAGCUACGACUCCAUCGACUUUCGGGACAGAGGUGUCCACUUCGUGCAUCUCGACAAGAGCGUAAGUGGACGGCCUCGCGCCUCGACUUGAAGGCGACGGUGUCCGUGGGUUCGUGCUCGCGUCGGCUCGCGUGUCUCUUUGCCGAUCACCAUUGGCAGUCGAGGGAUCACUGGAGCCAGUAACCGGCACGCGCUCUCCUUGCGGAGAUGAUGCUGCUGGCUCCUCGAUCGUUCGGGAGACAGUGUCGAGCACGCGUGCUGGGGCAUCCACGAAAGCGGACUUCGCUCCUGGAUUUCCCAAAACCAGGUGCGUACUUUGCUGCUCGACAUGCUGCAGAUGCAAAUCGGCAGUUGCCUGUGAUUCUCGCGUCGCCGCCUGACCGCUGCUCACCUUGUCCACAGAUGCGAUAUCAGAACCGCCUGUUGCAUCCGCGUGAUCGUGCCUGUUGGAAGCGACCGGCGAUCGAGCCGCCCCUGCCGACGCUUCCACCUCCUCCCAGCCACCGGAGUCGUCAUCCGUGGUGAGGCACUGUAUUCGAAUCAGGAGACGCGUGCCCGGACUUAGGCCCAGAUCUCGUAAGCGGAGGCUUCGAAAAUGGCUGACUCCAUAGUGCGCAGUCUCCAGGUACCGUGCGACUAGCAAGUAGGGGCGGCACCACCACAGACGCUCCGGAUUCGCCCGCUCGAGCACGCUCCAGAGCGUAUCCUCCAAUACUGCAGGUGCGAUGUAGCGCUCUGGGGGGUCGCUCUCGUACUGCACAGCCACAGUCAGCGAAUGCGCAGGUGUGACGCCCUGAGCGAGGUCUGCUGUCUGUCCAGGUUUUCCAGUAACGCUCGUCUUCGCCGUUUCACUGACACUGCGCUCGUCAACAACUAUCCGGGCCUGAGCCGAUAAACCCGACAGCCGAAAAGG